AAUGAACGUUGGCGGCGUGGAUUAGGCAUGCAAGUCGAGCGAGAACCCGCAAGGGGGACAGCGGCAAACGGGGUAGUAAUGUGUCGGAACGUGCCCAGAGGACGGGGAUAGCGGCGGGAAACUGCCGGUAAUACCCGAUGAUCUCGAGAGAGCAAAGGUGUGAUUCCGCCUUUGGAGCGGCCGACAUGGUAUUAGCUAGUUGGCGGGGUAACGGCCCACCAAGGCUUUGAUGCCUAGGGGAUGUGAGAGCAUGAUCCCCACCAUUGGGACUGAGACACUGCCCAGACACCUACGGGUGGCUGCAGUCGAGAAUCUUCGUCAAUGGGCGAAAGCCUGAACGAGCGACGCCGCGUGUGGGAUGAAGGCCCUUGGGUUGUAAACCACUGUCGAGGGGGAUGAAGGCUUGAAGGUACUCCUUCAAGUUUGACAGAGCCCUGGAGGAAGCACGGGCUAAGUUCGUGCCAGCCGCCGCGGUAAUAC
rnacentral:rRNA from 1 species